AUGUGUCUGUCUAUCCCUGUUCUCUCCCCUCUGCACAGGCCAUACAAAUGCUUCACACCGCGUGGCCGCUGCCACUCUAACCUGGUGGUCCCAGCGCGCACGACCCACGUGGAGUUCCAGGUCUCCGGCAGCCUCUGGAACUGCCGGUCUGCGGCCAACAAGGCAGAGUUCAUCUCAGCCUAUGCUACCCUCCAGUCCCUCGACUUCUUGGCGCUGACGGAAACAUGGAUUACCACAGAUAACACUGCUACUCCUACUGCUCUCUCCUCGUCUGCCCACGUGUUCUCGCAUACCCCGAGAGCAUCUGGCCAGCGGGGUGGUGGCACUGGAAUCCUCAUCUCUCCCAAGUGGACUUUCUCUCUUUCUCCUCUGACCCAUCUGUCUAUCGCCUCCAUUGAAUUCCAUGCUGUCACAGUUACCAGCCCUUUGAAGCUUAACAUCCUUAUCAUUUAUCGCCCUCCAGGUUCCCUUGGAGAGUUCAUCAAUGAGCUUGACGCCUUGAUAAGUUCCUUUCCUGAGGAUGGCUCACCUCUCACAGUUCUGGGUGACUUUAACCUCCCCACGUCUACCUUUGACUCAUUCCUCUCUGCCUCCUUCUUUCCACUCCUCUCCUCUUUUGACCUCACCCUCUCACCUUCCCCCCCUACUCACAAGGCAGGCAAUACGCUUGACCUCAUCUUUACUAGAUGCUGUUCUUCCACUAAUCUCAUUGCAACUCCCCUCCAAGUCUCCGACCACUACCUUGUAUCCUUUUCCCUCUCGCUCUCCUCCAACACUUCUCACUCUGCCCCUACUCGGAUGGUAUUGCGACGUCGCAACCUUCGCUCUCUCUCUCCCGCUACUCUCUCCUCUUCCAUCCUAUCAUCUCUUCCCUCUGCUCAAACCUUCUCCAACCUAUCUCCUGAUUCUGCCUCCUCAACCCUCCUCUCCUCCCUUUCUGCAUCCUUUGACUCUCUAUGUCCACUAUCCUCCAGGCCGGCUCGGUCCUCCCCUCCUGCUCCGUGGCUCGACGACUCAUUGCGAGCUCACAGAACAGGGCUCCGGGCAGCCGAGCGGAAAUGGAGGAAAACUCGCCUCCCUGCGGACUUGGCAUCCUUUCACUCCCUCCUCUCUACAUUUUCCUCUUCUGUUUCUGCUGCUAAAGCCACUUUCUACCACUCUAAAUUCCAAGCAUCUGCCUCUAACCCUAGGAAGCUCUUUGCCACCACCUCCUCCCUCCUGAAUCCUCCCCCUCCCCCCCCUCUGCGGAUGACUUCGUCAACCAUUUUGAAAAGAAGGUCGACGACAUCCGAUCCUCGUUUGUUAAGUCAAACGACACCGCUGGUCCUGCUCACACUGCCCUACCCUGUGCUUUGA
rnacentral:lncRNA from 8 species